GGAAAAGCAUCAGUCACACAGAACAAAGUAAGCUACUUCUUCGCAAAUCAAGAACCAAUGAUCCACACUGAGGAUUCUUCAAUACCAAAGGAAACGCAAGUCACAGUUAUUUGCCACAGUCUUAUUUUCUAAAUAUGAGAACCUCCUACUAAAAGCAGAAAAACAACCCUGCUGACCCACAUAUAGGGAGGAAACACCCUUUUCUCCAUGUAACCACAGUAAUAAAGAACCUCUGUUGGGGAGUAAAAAUGCACCUUAAUAGUCCCCGUGAGCCUUUUAAAGCCAUAAGAAAUAAGGUCCUGGACCUGAAAAUGGGCCAGGUAGAACAUGCAGAAAAUUUUAAUUAUCCUUGCCAAUGGUCCACUCUAUUAAAAGGUAAUCAAUAGAUGCCUUAAAUUUUUUCCAGAGUGCUUUCAAAUACAUUAUUUUGUUCAACUUCAGAGCCCAUUCCCAGACUGAAACAGGAGCAGGUACUAUCCCCAUUUUUCAGAUCUAGAAAUCAGAGCCAAUAGGAGGGUAAGUAGCUCUUCCAAGAUGGUAAUCAGCAGCAAAGGGAAACUUAAAUCCUGGCUUCCAGCUUGCCAAUCUACUGAGGAAAUCUGCAUCUUUUCAGGCUUAUUUUGAAGUGUUUCCCAAACUGCAGCAUAUAUCAAGUCCAUCACAUGCUGUCCAUUCAGUAAGUAACUGAUAAACUCCACCUCACACAUGGAAGAGGCUGAACACAGUCAUGUAACUAGGGACAUAGGACAGGACCCCAGUUCUCUUAUGGUACGUUCCUAGUACUGGCUUUUAAAAAGACAGAGAGAGGAAAAAAUCAUGAAGUUGGAGGGAAGAUAAGCAGGUUAAAAUCCCUUACACACACACACAAAAUUACAUACUCAGUAUACCUAAAAUUAAUAGAAUACUGUAUGUCAAUUGUAAUUGAAAAAUUUUUUAAGUUAUACCUAAUGAUACCUAAACUCAAUGUUGGUUUUUUUUUAACCUAACAAUAUACUGUUCCAGCUUAAUUGCUUGUCUUUUCCAUCAUUGUAUAUUUUUUUCCUUCCUGUGUGGAAGCUCUCUACCCCUAAACCCUAAGGUAAAACUGUUCGUGGUACCCUCCUUUGAAAUGAGACCUCUAGACUAUGCCAUAUAAAGGAAAAUGGGCUCCUAGGCGUUUCUCCUGUCUAGUAAAAUUUCAGUGACAACACAUGUCAACCCUGGAGACCAAAAAUUAAAAAAAAAAUCUACUUGGAUUUACUGUGAAAAAAAAAAGAUUUCUAGCACAUUAAAACCUACAUGUUAAUUCCUGUGCCAUGAACUUCUUUAAGUAUUCUAUGAAGUCUACAACAAAGGGAGGGAAAUUAAGUGUGAGGAUCACCACCUAUGAAUCUGGGUGGAACAAAGACUUCGCCUUUCAUUAUGCAGAGAACCAAAUUGCCAAAAAAAAAAAAAAAAACGCUCGGCUCAGACACCAUGCAUGGUUAGUGACUGCGAAUCUGGGUACAGAGGAGGCAAAAAUCCGAUGCUGGUCAAACGCUGUCUCUGCCUGCCCCCGCCUCCGGCCCUUUUGGCCAAGGCCUGGCCCCAGAGCUGCAGCCCCAACCUCUUUCUCCCAUUAUAGGGAACCGGCUUAACCCCGGGAGCUCUACGACCUCCCACGUCUCCCAGGCAGGCGCCCCCGCCCGCCCGGGCUCAACCCUGGUUCCUAAUCCAGUCGCCGCCCUCCCCACCCCCCAUGCCCGCCCCAACCCCCAAAGGCUGCUCCCAUAGACUGCCGAGGUAAGAACGGCAGAGCCCGGCCCCGCUGGGGCUGCCCCUGGCUGCCGCUGGCUCCCAGCUCCGCACUCCCCGCUCCUCCGGCCAAGGCGUGUCCACUUCUCGCACGGGCUCGGCGGAGGCGCGAGGAAGGAAGAAUCGGCCCGCCUGCCCCUCUCCCGCCUGUCGGCGUUAGCGAGGUCGGCGGCCGCUCAGCCCGGCCUCCUGCAGACUGCGGUUGUCAAACGGUGCAGAGCCCGGUUCCAGCGCCGAGCCCAGCCAAUCGCCGCGCCUCCCCGAGGCGCCUCAGGACCCCGCCAGUGGGGCGGCCAGGCAGGUGCCUGCGCGGAUAGGAGAGUCGCCUGGGAGGGCCGAGUCCGGCGAGGUGAGGACCCUUCCGGACCCACAGGCUCCCGGCAAUCGUUCCAAGGACUGGCUGGACCCGGAGGAAGAGAGGUCGCGGGGAUUGCGUGAGACCCGCAGCCUGGACGCAGACCCCGGUCGCCGUGACCGUGUGUCCCGAAAUAGCGUAGGGGAUUGUCGCCUGCCAACCUAGACUCCUCUGCGCAUUAGAAUUGUCUUUUAAUAAUCCUCCUGGAUAAUGUGUUAAUACAGGCCAAUGAAAUUAA